rnacentral:rRNA from 1 species
GAUGAACGCUGGCGGCGUGCCUAAUACAUGCAAGUCGAGCGAACAGACGAGGAGCUUGCUCCUCUGACGUUAGCGGCGGACGGGUGAGUAACACGUGGAUAACCUACCUAUAAGACUGGGAUAACUUCGGGAAACCGGAUCUAAUACCGGAUAAUAUAUUGAACCGCAUGGUUCAAUAGUGAAAUACGGUUUUGCUGUCACUUAUAGAUGGAUCCGCGCUGCAUUAGCUAGUUGGUAAGGUAACGGCUUACCAAGGCGACGAUGCGUAGCCGACCUGAGAGGGUGAUCGGCCACACUGGAACUGAGACACGGUCCAGACUCCUACGGGAGGCAGCAGUAGGGAAUCUUCCGCAAUGGGCGAAAGCCUGACGGAGCAACGCCGCGUGAGUGAUGAAGGUCUUCGGAUCGUAAAACUCUGUUAUUAGGGAAGAACAAAUGUGUAAGUAACUAUGCACGUCUUGACGGUACCUAAUCAGAAAGCCACGGCUAACUACGUG